rnacentral:rRNA from 1 species
AUUGAACGCUGGCGGCAGGCCUAACACAUGCAAGUCGAGCGGAGCGGCGGACGGGUGAGUAAUGCCUAGGAAUCUGCAUGGUAGUGGGGGAUGACGUCCGGAAACGGGCGCUAAUACCGCAUACUAUCAGAUGAGCCUAGGUCGGAUUAGCUAGUGGGGGGGGUAAAGGCCUACCAAGGCGACGAUCCGUAACUGGUCUGAGAGGAUGAUCAGCCACACUGGAACUGAGACACGGUCCAGACUCCUACGGGAGGCAGCAGUGGGGAAUAUUGGACAAUGGGCGAAAGCCUGAUGCAGCCAUGCCGCGUGUAUGAAGAAGGGCUUCGGAUUGUAAAGCACUUUAAGUUAGGAGGCGUUACCCGCAGAAUAAGCACCGGCUAACUCCGUGCCAGCAGCCGCGGUAAUAC